GGAGGAGACGGCCGACCCUUGGUCGGUGGCCAGCAGAGUGGCGUCGGGUUCCUCCGUCAGUCGGCGAGUUUCAUGUGAGUCGGCCUCUGGGUCUGGUCGGUCGGGAAGGAUACGCCCGACAUACCUCCAGUCGGCGAUUGGGCCAUUGAAAAGAAGUCGGUAGCGUCCGUUAGUCGGUCACCCCCGGCUUUCAGUCGGAG
rnacentral:lncRNA from 1 species